UACGGGGGGAGCAAGCGUUGUUCGGAUUUACUGGGCGUAAAGGGCGCGUAGGCGGCGCAACAAGUCACUUGUGAAAAUCUCCGGGCUUAACCCGGAGCGGUCAAGUGAUACUGUCGUGCUAGAGUGCAGAAGGGGCAACUGGAAUUCUCGGUGUAGCGGUGAAAUGCGUAGAUAUCGAGAGGAACACCUGGCGGCGAAGGCGGGUUGCUGGGCUGACACUGACGCUGGAGGCGACGAAGGCGUGGGUAGCAAACAGG
rnacentral:rRNA from 1 species